rnacentral:rRNA from 1 species
AGAGUUUGAUCCUGGCUCAGAACGAACGCUGGCGGCAUGCCUAACACAUGCGAGUCGAACGAGACCUUCGGGUCUAGUGGCGCACGGGUGCGUAACGCGUGGGGAUCUGCCCUUUGCUUCGGAAUAACAGUUAGAAAUGACUGCUAAUACCGGAUGAUGACUUCGGUCCAAAGAUUUAUCGGCAAAGGAUGAACCCGCGUAGGAUUAGCUAGUUGGUGGGGUAAAGGCCUACCAAGGCGACGAUCCUUAGCUGGUCUGAGAGGAUGAUCAGCCACACUGGGACUGAGACACGGCCCAGACUCCUACGGGAGGCAGCAGUGGGAAUAUUGGACAAUGGGCGAAAGCCUGAUCCAGCAAUGCCGCGUGAGUGAUGAAGGCCUUAGGGUUGUAAAGCUCUUUUACCCGGGAUGAUAAUGACAGUACCGGGAGAAUAAGCUCCGGCUAACUCCGUG